UGCUGCGGCUCCUUUCCUGUCAGUCCACCUUUUAUAUUUUGGUGGUGAACGUUUUUUUUUCUUUAUUUUUACUGGAAUCAAAGAAAAAGCGUAGUGUGUCACAUUUACCACAGAAUGUUCUUGGAGACUCGGUCAAACCUGAGGGAUUGAAAGGGACCAUUGUUGAUCUUUCAAAGGUUUUAACACAUUUCGGCCUUUUUUUUCAUCCAAACCUUUCAGAAUCUGGAUCUCCCCUGCUGGCUCUUUGAUCCCGAUGAUGGAAGCUUGUAGGACUCUAUUGGUCCCAGGAACGACAAGAAGCGCUGGAAACUUCAAGCAGCCAGACAUCACCUUAGACAUCCGACUUGCAGGGAGCAUGAGGCACAAGACACCUGAAGAGGUUGGUUUGUGUGCGGUGGCUGAAC
rnacentral:lncRNA from 1 species